UACGAGAUGUGCGAGCGUUGUUCGGAAUCACUGGGCAUAAAGGGUGCGUAGGCGGUGCGUCCAGUCGGGUGUGAAAUCCCUUCGCUUAACGAAGGAACUGCACUCGAUACUAGCGCGCUAGAGGGUGAAAGGGGCAAGCGGAAUUCUAGGUGUAGCGGUGGAAUGCGUAGAUAUCUGGGAGAACGCCAAGGGCGAAGGCAGCUUGCUGGGUCACUUCUGACGCUGAGGCACGAAAGCUAGGGGAGCAAACAGG
rnacentral:rRNA from 1 species